rnacentral:rRNA from 1 species
CCUACGGGAGGCAGCAGUGGGGAAUUUUGGACAAUGGGCGCAAGCCUGAUCCAGCCAUGCCGCGUGCGGGAAGAAGGCCUUCGGGUUGUAAACCGCUUUUGUCAGGGAAGAAACGCUUUGGGAUAAUACCCUGAGGUAAUGACGGUACCUGAAGAAUAAGCACCGGCUAACUACGUGCCAGCAGCCGCGGUAAUACGUAGGGUGCAAGCGUUAAUCGGAAUUACUGGGCGUAAAGCGUGCGCAGGCGGUUCUAUAAGACAGAUGUGAAAUCCCCGGGCUCAACCUGGGAACUGCAUUUGUGACUGUAGAGCUUGAGUGCGGCAGAGGGGGAUGGAAUUCCGCGUGUAGCAGUGAAAUGCGUAGAUAUGCGGAGGAACACCGAUGGCGAAGGCAAUCCCCUGGGCCUGCACUGACGCUCAUGCACGAAAGCGUGGGGAGCAAACAGGAUUAGAUACCCUGGUAGUCCACGCCCUAAACGAUGUCAACUGGUUGUUGGGAAGGUUCCGUUCUCAGUAACGUAGCUAACGCGUGAAGUUGACCGCCUGGGGAGUACGGCCGCAAGGUUGAAACGUCAAAUGAAUUGACGG